GGCCACUGCAAUUGCUAUUUUGCGAUUAUUGGGUCUACAUUAUGUCACUGCCAUAUCAUGUCGAGUAUUGCUGUGAAACUGAAUUGCUUUCAUCAAUCGCUCUUUCCUCAUUAGCACAAUGAUAUAUAUUGAGGGCAUAUCUCCAAUUGUAAACCUUUGAUUUAUCUGCAUGUCAUUUAGUUUUUUAACUCCCCUUUCACACCAUAGUACUUUGGUCAUUACAAUUUAUGUGGCUCCGAUA